rnacentral:rRNA from 1 species
CACGUAGGCAACCUGCCCAUCAGACUGGGAUAACCACGGGAAACCGUGGCUAAUACCGGAUAACCCUUUUCCACACAGGUGGGAAAGUUGAAAGGCGGUCUUUUGGCUGUCACUGAUGGAUGGGCCUGCGGCGCAUUAGCUGGUUGGUGGGGUAACGGCCCACCAAGGCGACGAUGCGUAGCCGACCUGAGAGGGUGAUCGGCCACACUGGGACUGAGACACGGCCCAGACUCCUACGGGAGGCAGCAGUAGGGAAUCUUCCGCAAUGGACGAAAGUCUGACGGAGCAACGCCGCGUGAG